AGAGUUUGAUCAUGGCUCAGGAUGAACGCUAGCGGGAGGCUUAACACAUGCAAGUCGAGGGGCAGCACGAGGUAGCAAUACUUUGGUGGCGACCGGCGCACGGGUGAGUAACACGUAUGCAACCUACCCUGUACAGGGGGAUAGCCCGGAGAAAUUCGGAUUAAUACCCCAUAAUGAUAUUGAAAGGCAUCUUUUAAUAUUUAAAGUUUCAACGGUACGGGAUGGGCAUGCGCAACAUUAGCUAGUUGGUAGGGUAACGGCCUACCAAGGCUACGAUGUUUAGGGGACCUGAGAGGGUGAUCCCCCACACUGGUACUGAGACACGGACCAGACUCCUACGGGAGGCAGCAGUGAGGAAUAUUGGUCAAUGGGCGUAAGCCUGAACCAGCCAUCCCGCGUGCAGGAAGACAGCGCUAUGCGUUGUAAACUGCUUUUCCAGGGGAAGAAAACCCGCUACGUGUAGCGGUUUGCCGGUACCCUGGGAAUAAGCAUCGGCUAACUCCGUGCCAGCAGCCGCGGUAAUACGGAGGAUGCGAGCGUUAUCCGGAUUUAUUGGGUUUAAAGGGUGCGUAGGCGGAUUGAUAAGUCAGUGGUGAAAACCUUCAGCUUAACUGGAGAAUUGCCAUUGAUACUGUUAGUCUUGAGUACGGUCAAGGUAGGCGGAAUGUGUAAUGUAGCGGUGAAAUGCUUAGAUAUUACACAGAACACCGAUUGCGAAGGCAGCUUACUGGGCCAUUACUGACGCUGAUGCACGAAAGCGUGGGGAGCGAACAGGAUUAGAUACCCUAGUAGUCC
rnacentral:rRNA from 1 species